CUCUGGCACCUAAGCUAGAGUGCAGUGAUGGUGAUCUGGGCUCACUGCAACCUUUGCCUCCCAGGUUUAACUGAUUUUCUUGCCUCAGCCUCUUGAGUAGCUGGGAUUACAGGCACAUGCUACCACACCUGGCUAAUUUUUGUAUUUUUAGUUGAGAUGGGGUUUCACCAUGUUGGCCAGGCUGGUCUCAAACUCCUGACCUCAGGGGAUCCACCCACCUUGGCCUCCCAAAGUGCUGGGAUUUCAGGCGUGAACCACCACACUGGCCUGAAAAUUAAUCAGUUACUCCAGCUGUUAGAAUAUGAUUUUGUUUUUUGGCCGUAAAAAUAAUAAAAUAUCAAACAUUUCAAAAAUAGAGACAAGAUGGGGUGGUAGGCAGAAUUCUAAAUGGCACCCACCCCAAGAUUCUUGCCCCUUUGGUAUGUAUGCCCUGUGUGAUCCCCUGUCCUUGAACAUGGGCAGGGCCUGUGAAUAUGAUGGCAUAUCCUAUCCUUUGAACAGGCUAUAUUAUAGAGGACUGUUUCAACAGACGAGAGAAUCUCCAGCUGGUUAUAAAGUAAACUGCUAUGUUGUGAGGAUGGCUGUGAGAGGGCCUUGAGACAAAGAGCUGCAGGGGCUUCUGGAGCUGAGAGCAGAUUGCUGACAGCAGAUUGCUGACAGCCAGUAAGAAAGCUGGGACCUCAGACAUACAACUGGGAGAACUGAAUUCUGCCCACAACCUGUAAGUUUGGAAGAGGACCCCAUCACCAGCCUCAAAUGAAAUCAGACCCCAUCACUACACCUUGAUUGCAACCUGUGAGAACUGAGUAGAGAAUUCAGUUAAAUCCUGCGGGGACUCCUGGAAACUUAGAUAAUAAAGGCAACACCUUUGCUCCUGAAGAUCUCACAGCAAUUCAAACCACAUUUUUCAAGAUGAAUUUGGACAAAGAACUGCAGUAAAACUAUUUCUGUUUUGCAGCUAAAGCAGCAACAAUAUUUGCAAUGAAAUCAGAACAUCUCAGCUUUGAAAUCAUGGUUUCGCUCUUGCUACCCAGGCUGGAGUGCAAUGGCGCGAUCUCGGCUCACAGCAACCUCUGCCUCCUGAGUUCAAGAAAUACUCCUACCUCAGCCUCCCAAGUUGCUGGGACUACAGGCGCAUGCCACCAUGCCCAGCUAAUUUUCUAAUUUUUAGUAGAGAUGGGGUUUCACCUUGUUGACUAGGAUGGUCUCGAUCUCUUGACCUCAUGAUCUACCCGCCUCGGCCUCCCAAAGUGCUGGGAUUAUAGGCCUGAGCCACCGCGCCCGGCCUCUUAAUACUCUUAUUAUCACAGGAUUUCACCAUCUUGUAAUUCAAAUUCUCAGUGUGUCUGCACUGUCCAAGAAAGAAAAGUACUGUAACGGAAUUAAAUGUUUUCAGGAGGCCUCCUUAUUCUGUAAAUUAAACAUCUGGGGUCGCCAAUGCUUGGCAGAGUGUAGGGCACUUGGUGGGUGGGCAGCAUGAGACUACUGCGUUGAACUCUCUCUCCGGGUACACAGUACGUGCGGUGGAAAUCAUCUGGUUUCAGAAAAUCGUGAAUAAGUCAAAGGAGACUUUUUUUUGGGGGAAGUGUUGUAUGUGUCAAACAUUAAUAUAUGUUUAAAAUUAAACAAAACAAAACAGGAUGGUAGGAGGCAGCUUUGUUCUCCCUGAGGCUAGAAUGCAGUGGCUCAGUACCACCUCCCAUCAAAUUGGGAUUUUCACUUCCCCUACUCUCCA